rfam:Streptomyces sp. F-1 isolate Streptomyces sp. F1 genome assembly, contig: gnlCTBESTEPF1_6
CCUCCUGGGCCUGCUGGGGCGAGAUGAAGUGGAUGUGGCUGUCGAUGCCGCCGGCGGUGGCGAUCAGGUGCUCGCCGGAGAUCACCUCGGUGCCGGGCCCGAUCACCAGCUUGGGGUCCACGCCGUUCUGCACAUGGGGGUUGCCGGCCUUGCCGACCCCGACGAUCAGGCCGUCGCGGACGCCGAUGUCGCCCUUGACGACGCCCAGGACCGGGUCGAGGACCACGACGUUGGUGAUCACCAGGUCGAGGGCGCCCUCGCGGUUGAGCGCGGCGGGGUCCUGGGCCAUGCCGUCGCGGAUG